rnacentral:rRNA from 1 species
UACGUAGGGUGCGAGCGUUAAUCGGAAUUACUGGGCGUAAAGCGUGCGCAGGCGGUUUUGUAAGCCAGAUGUGAAAUCCCCGGGCUUAACCUGGGAAUGGCAUUUGGGACUGCAAGGCUGGAGUGUGGCAGAGGAGACUGGAAUUCCUGGUGUAGCAGUGAAAUGCGUAGAUAUCAGGAGGAAUACCGAUGGCGAAGGCAGGUCUCUGGGCUGACACUGACGCUCAUGCACGAAAGCGUGGGGAGCAAACGAGGAUUACGAAACCCCG